rnacentral:piRNA from 1 species
UGCCAAGUCCUUCCCCAAGCUGCUCC